rnacentral:rRNA from 1 species
CUGACCUCGGAUCAGGUAGGG